UACGUAGGGGGCAAGCGUUGUCCGGAUUUAUUGGGCGUAAAGAGCGUGUAGGCGGCUAGGUAGGUCCGUUGUGAAAACUCGAGGCUCAACCUCGAGACGCCGAUGGAAACCAUCUGGCUAGAGUCCGGAAGAGGAGAGUGGAAUUCCUGGUGUAGCAGUGAAAUGCGCAGAUAUCAGGAAGAACACCCGUGGCUAAGGCGGCUCUCUAGUACGGUACUGACGCUGAGACGCGAAAGCGUGGGGAGCGAACAGG
rnacentral:rRNA from 1 species